AAUCAACGCUGGCGGCGUGCCUAACACAUGCAAGUCGAACGCGAAAGCCCCUUCGGGGGCAAGUAGAGUGGCGUCCGGGUGAGUAACACGUGGGUAAUCUACCUCCGGGUGGGGAAUAACUCGCCGAAAGGUGGGCUAAUACCGCAUAAUGCAGCGGCACCGAAUGGUGAUUAGUUGUUAAAGCGGGGGACCUUAGGGCCUCGCGUCUGGAGAGGAGCCUGCGGCAGAUUAGCUUGUUGAGGGUAAUGGCCUACCAAGGCUGCGAUCUGUAGCUGGUCUGAGAGGACGGCCAGCCACACUGGCACUGACACACGGGCCAGACUCCUACGGGAGGCAGCAGUGGGGAAUUUUGGGCAAUGGGCGAAAGCCUGACCCAGCAACGCCGCGUGAAGGAGGAAAUCCUUCGGGAUGUAAACUUCACAAGCAAGGGAAGAGCGCGCAGGGUCGAAUAAACUCUGCGUCCGACGGUACCUUGCGUAAGCCACGGCUAACUACGUGCCA
rnacentral:rRNA from 1 species